CUUUCUAAGAGUGAUGGAGGUUUGGUCCUACCCCAGGUAAUGGGGAACAGAGCAAAAGGCAGGGACAGAGGACGGGACCUGGGUGCCAUACACGGGUGUUAGGCGCCCUCCAGCGGUGUGUCCACAAGGAAGGACAGCGACAGAGACAGGCAGGGAGACAGCUAGACAGAGAGACAGUGAGAAGCGAGAGAGCCGAGAUCUAAGACAGACAGACUCUGGAGUCUCUGGGAGAGAACGAUCGAUCGCUGAUCCAGUGUCUAAGAGGAAGGAACGGACCUGACAGCGUGUCCCGUGCCCGGAGGCACUCCGCCUGGUACAGGACAGCGGCCUGUAGGGGGCCCCUCGCGGAGCGGUGCCUCCGGGCAUCCCUGGCCCGCGCCCCCUCCCCGGCCCCUGCCCCAGUCCCAGGCAGCGGAUUCCCCUCCGGGGCGGGCGGUGCUACUCUCGUCCUCCCCGCCCGGCUGGCGUGCUUCCCGGCCCGGCCGAGCACGGUCCCGGCCCCGAGGGGGGCUGAGCUGGGCGAAAACCCGCCCUCCAGCGAGCUCAUUUCCCUAAAAGGGGGGGUGGGGUGGGGAGUGGGAGGGCGGCGAGAAAAGAAAGGGAGCGACCGAGAGGAGGGCGAGGGGACGCCGGAGCCCAGGGCCGGAGAGAGCCGGGCCGAGCGGGGGGCGGGAGACAGGAAACGGGACGGGAAGAGGUGGCCUCGGGGGGAGAGCGCCUCCCCUUCGCCUUCAGCGCUCCCUUCCCCGUCGCCCCGCUCCCGCGUCCGGGCGCGACCGCCACCGCCACCGCCGCCCGCCAGCAUGCCCGGCGUGGCCCGCCCGCCGCUGCCGCUGCUGUCGCUGCCGCUGCUACUGCUGCUGCUGCUGCUCCCGCGCGCCGGCCGGCCGCUGGACUUGGCCGACUACACCUACGACCUGGGCGAGGAGGACGCCCCGGAGCUCCUCAACUACAAAGACCCUUGCAAGGCGGCUGCCUUCCUUGGGGACAUUGCCCUGGAUGAGGAGGACUUGAGGGCCUUCCAGGUGCAGCAGGCUGCAGUUCUCAGACAGCAAACAGCCCGAAGGCCAUCCAUCAAAGCUGCAGGAAACUCUUCUGCCCUGGGUGGUCAGGGCACUAGUGGACAGCCGCAGAGGGAAAGCAGGGGCAGAUGGAGAGGCAGGCCUCGGAGCAGGCGGGCAGCGACGUCCAGACCGGAGCGGGUGUGGCCCGAUGGGGUCAUCCCGUUUGUGAUUGGAGGGAAUUUCACCGGCAGCCAGAGGGCAGUCUUCCGGCAGGCCAUGAGACACUGGGAGAAGCAUACCUGUGUCACCUUCUUGGAGCGCACAGAUGAGGACAGCUAUAUUGUAUUCACCUACCGACCCUGCGGGUGCUGCUCCUACGUGGGUCGCCGAGGUGGGGGCCCCCAGGCCAUCUCCAUCGGCAAGAACUGUGACAAGUUUGGCAUCGUGGUCCAUGAGCUGGGCCAUGUCAUUGGCUUCUGGCACGAGCACACGCGGCCCGACCGGGACCGCCAUGUCUCUAUUGUACGCGAGAACAUACAGCCAGGGCAGGAGUAUAACUUCUUGAAGAUGGAGGUUCAAGAAGUGGAGUCCUUGGGAGAGACCUAUGACUUUGACAGUAUCAUGCACUAUGCCCGGAACACAUUCUCCAGGGGCAUCUUCUUGGACACCAUUGUUCCCAAGUAUGAGGUGAAUGGGGUGAAGCCUUCCAUUGGCCAAAGGACCCGACUCAGCAAGGGGGACAUCGCUCAGGCCCGGAAGCUCUACAAAUGCCCAGCCUGUGGCGAGACCCUCCAAGACAGCACUGGCAACUUCUCCUCCCCUGAGUAUCCCAAUGGCUACUCUGCCCACAUGCACUGUGUAUGGCGCAUCUCUGUCACACCUGGGGAGAAGAUUAUUCUAAACUUCACAUCCAUGGACCUGUACCGUAGCCGCCUGUGCUGGUAUGACUAUGUGGAGGUGCGGGAUGGCUUCUGGAGAAAGGCGCCCCUCCGAGGCCGGUUCUGUGGGGGCAAACUCCCCGAGCCCAUCGUCUCCACCGACAGCCGCCUCUGGGUGGAAUUCCGAAGCAGCAGCAACUGGGUUGGAAAGGGCUUCUUUGCUGUCUAUGAAGCCAUUUGCGGUGGCGAUGUGAAAAAGGAUAAUGGCCAUAUCCAGUCUCCCAAUUACCCAGACGAUUAUCGGCCCAGCAAAGUCUGCAUCUGGCGGAUCCAGGUGUCUGAGGGUUUCCACGUGGGCCUCACGUUCCAGUCCUUUGAGAUUGAGCGUCACGACAGUUGUGCCUACGACUACCUGGAAGUCCGUGAUGGGCACAGCGAGAGCAGCAACCUCAUUGGGCGCUACUGUGGCUAUGAGAAGCCUGAUGACAUCAAAAGCACAUCCAGUCGGCUCUGGCUCAAGUUCGUCUCUGACGGGUCCAUUAACAAAGCUGGCUUCGCAGUCAACUUUUUCAAAGAGGUGGAUGAGUGUUCAAGGCCCAACCGCGGGGGCUGUGAGCAGCGGUGCCUGAACACCCUGGGCAGCUACAAGUGCAGCUGUGACCCUGGCUAUGAGCUGGCCCCAGACAAGCGUCGGUGUGAGGCUGCCUGUGGUGGAUUCCUCACCAAGCUCAAUGGCUCCAUCACCAGCCCCGGUUGGCCCAAAGAGUACCCUCCCAACAAAAACUGCAUCUGGCAGUUGGUGGCCCCCACCCAGUACCGUAUCUCCCUGCAAUUUGACUUCUUCGAGACUGAGGGCAAUGAUGUGUGCAAGUACGACUUUGUGGAGGUGCGCAGCGGACUCACGGCGGACUCUAAGCUGCAUGGCAAGUUCUGCGGCUCCGAGAAGCCAGAGGUCAUCACUUCCCAGUACAACAAUAUGCGUGUGGAGUUCAAGUCUGACAAUACUGUGUCCAAAAAGGGCUUCAAGGCCCACUUCUUCUCAGGGUCCUGCAUCCUUCAGCCCCCUAUGUGGCUGCCCUGCACCCUUGCCUGUCCCACCCGGAUGCCAUGCACCUGUCCCCGUGCACUGGUUCCCUGCUUGGCACUGCCAGCUGCCCUGCUCUGCUUAACAUGUUCUGUUGAGCCAUUGACCCCAGUCCCCUGUCCCAUCGCUUGCUGAGACCCUCUCCGUGUAACACCAAGCCCAUCCUUCCCUAGGCCCACUUAGACCAAAAAAAAAAAAAAAUAGUCCUUUCCAGAGGGCUGAGGGGAUAGAAUACCUACCACAGUGUCCUUCUUAGAGAAACCAUUACCUGCUUACUCUUGUCUGUCUCUGCCCUUCUGCUGCUCCAGUCUUGGAGAGGAUAUGGGGGAUACCGGUGUUUGUUUGGAGCCUCUGCCUUGUCUCCCUACUACAUAGUACUCAACACCAUGCAAGGGAUGUACAUGCAUGUACAUGUGCUCACAACAUAUGCAUACACACAUGCGUGCACACAAUAUGCAUUGCCCCUUGCACAAGAAACCUGCAGAGGACUCUCAUCGAUGGGCAUCAGAGUUCAGCCUCGGGGCCUGGGGCAUGUGACUCUGGCCCUCAGGAGGGGGCUGUAUGGACUAUUGGGACACCCAUCGAGGAGACCCUAAGACAAGAAGGAGAAGCAAGACCCUGAAGACCUUCAGUCUGACCCCAGCACCUCCGGGGCAUUUGGGCACUGUAGGAAAAGAGGCCAGCUCUGCAGCCCCCUCGGGGACGCCCCCACCAGCUCAAAUUCCGAGUGCAGAAAAGAAACCGGACCCCCCAAUGAGGCCUGCCAGGCCCCCAGACCCUUCAUUACUCAGGAAGCUCACCUCGGACGGAGUGGGCUGGGGGCUUUGGAGCCCACCCGUUCCCUGCCUCCACUCUGCCAUUCCGGCCGCCUCCUUUGGCUGGACAGAACUGGUGCUCUCCUCUCCCCCCCGCCCCCUCCCAUUUUGAUGGUGUCUGUGACAUUUCCUGUUGUGAAGUAAAAGAGGGACCCCUGCGUCCUGCUCCUUUCUCUUGCAGUCUGCUUGUCCCUGUGUCUGUUUUUCCACUUGUCCGUCUGUCCAGUAAGCAGGUAAUGGUAGAGGUUCCCAUGCUGGUCAGCUCCAGACCCCAGCCCUCCCUCCACCCUUCUGCCCACCUCUACCUUCUCUGCCCAGAGCGGAGGCCCACCCAGCUGGCCCCACUGAAGCAGUGACCAGAGCUCCAUCGUCACCCUCACCUCCCACUCUGCACCCAGCCCCCCUGUGCGAGCACGCCCUCCCACAGGAGGAAGCCCCACCAGGCCUCCCACUUCCCCUGGGGUGAGCAGACCUCAGCCCACACAGACCCACUGCUCUCGUUUGCACCCUACAGAUAAGGAUGAAUGUUCCAAGGACAAUGGUGGAUGCCAGCAAGACUGUGUGAACACGUUCGGCAGCUACGAGUGUCAGUGCCGCAGUGGCUUCGUCCUUCACGACAACAAACAUGACUGUAAAGAAGCUGGCUGUGAACACAAGGUGACAUCCACCAGUGGCACCAUCACCAGCCCCAACUGGCCUGACAAGUACCCCAGCAAGAAGGAGUGUACGUGGGCUAUCUCCAGCACCCCUGGGCACCGGGUAAAGCUGACUUUCGUGGAGAUGGAUAUUGAGUCUCAGCCCGAGUGUGCUUAUGACCACCUGGAGGUGUUCGAUGGACGUGAUGCCAAGGCACCAGUCCUUGGACGAUUCUGUGGCAGUAAGAAGCCUGAGCCAGUCCUGGCUACAGGCAACCGCAUGUUCUUGCGCUUCUACUCAGACAACUCGGUACAGAGGAAAGGUUUCCAGGCAUCCCACUCCACAGAGUGUGGGGGCCAAGUGCGGGCAGAUGUGAAGACCAAAGACCUUUAUUCCCAUGCCCAGUUCGGCGAUAACAACUACCCUGGAGGGGUGGACUGCGAGUGGGUCAUCGUGGCCGAGGAAGGCUAUGGCGUGGAGCUGGUGUUCCAGACCUUCGAGGUGGAGGAGGAGACUGACUGUGGCUAUGACUACAUAGAGCUCUUUGAUGGCUACGACAGCACAGCUCCCAGACUGGGGCGCUACUGUGGUUCUGGGCCUCCCGAGGAAGUGUACUCGGCUGGAGAUUCUGUCCUGGUGAAGUUCCACUCUGACGACACCAUCUCCAAGAAAGGCUUCCACCUGCGGUACACAAGCACCAAGUUCCAGGACACACUCCACAGCAGGAAGUGACCUCUGCCCCUGCUUGGUAGCGGGAACUGGAGUCCUGCUUCCCUCAAUCACCCAGACUGGACAGCAGGGGUGACAGGCAGAUGGUGACACAUUGUCCCUCACCCCCAGGCACCAGGGCCAGUGGGCCAGGUGUCAACAGGAGGCAAGGGACUUGGACUCCCUGUAAGCCAGUUCCCCAUGCCCUCCUGUCAGUGGGGCCGGGGAACCGGAGCUUUCACUGAGACACUUGAAGUGACCAUUCCUCCUUGGGGCCCUGCCUGGGGUAAGACAGUCUCUGUGCAGGACCCUGCGGGCUUCUCUGCCGUCUUUACACACUGUAUUGUGUAUAGCCGGUGUCCCUAAUCUUUAUUGUAACGUACAUUUCCUGCCCCUUCUCCAGCCUUGAUUUGGUUUUAUAUUGACCCACCACUUCUAUGCUUCCUGGGUAUCCCCUGGGAGCCGUGACGGGGAGCUAGAGAAGAGAGAGUGGAUGAAUAAGACAGGGCUUCUCUUAGGCCCACUGGCUCAUCAGCCACACCAGGGCACCCCAGCCAAUAAACAGAAAGUGUUACAGCCAA